AGUCGAGCGGGUGAUGUAGCUUGCUACAUUACCUAGCGGCGGACGGGUGAGUAAUGCUUAGGAAUCUGCCUAUUAGUGGGGGACAACAUUCCGAAAGGAAUGCUAAUACCGCAUACGCCCUACGGGGGAAAGCAGGGGAUCUUCGGACCUUGCGCUAAUAGAUGAGCCUAAGUCAGAUUAGCUAGUUGGUGGGGUAAAGGCCUACCAAGGCGACGAUCUGUAGCGGGUCUGAGAGGAUGAUCCGCCACACUGGGACUGAGACACGGCCCAGACUCCUACGGGAGGCAGCAGUGGGGAAUAUUGGACAAUGGGCGCAAGCCUGAUCCAGCCAUGCCGCGUGUGUGAAGAAGGCCUUUUGGUUGUAAAGCACUUUAAGCGAGGAGGAGGCUACUUAGAUUAAUACUCUAGGAUAGUGGACGUUACUCGCAGAAUAAGCACCGGCUAACUCUGUGCCAGCAGCCGCGGUAAUACAGAGGGUGCGAGCGUUAAUCGGAUUUACUGGGCGUAAAGCGUGCGUAGGCGGCUUUUUAAGUCGGAUGUGAAAUCCCCGAGCUUAACUUUAGGAAUUGCAUUCGAUACUGGGAAGCUAGAGUAUGGGAGAGGAUGG
rnacentral:rRNA from 1 species